rnacentral:rRNA from 1 species
CCUGGCUCAGAUUGAACGCUAGCGGGAUGCCUUACACAUGCAAGUCGAACGGCAGCACGGACUUCGGUCUGGUGGCGAGUGGCGAACGGGUGAGUAAUGUAUCGGAACGUGCCCAGUAGCGCGGGGAUAACUACGCGAAAGCGUAGCUAAUACCGCAUACGCCCUACGGGGGAAAGCAGGGGAUCGCAAGACCUUGCACUAUUGGAGCGGCCGAUAUCGGAUUAGCUAGUUGGUGGGGUAACGGCUCACCAAGGCGACGAUCCGUAGCUGGUUUGAGAGGACGACCAGCCACACUGGGACUGAGACACGGCCCAGACUCCUACGGGAGGCAGCAGUGGGGAAUUUUGGACAAUGGGGGAAACCCUGAUCCAGCCAUCCCGCGUGUGCGAUGAAGGCCUUCGGGUUGUAAAGCACUUUUGGCAGGAAAGAAACGUCGUGGGUUAAUACCCCGCGAAACUGACGGUACCUGCAGAAUAAGCACCGGCUAACUACGUGCCAGCAGCCGCGGUAAUACGUAGGGUGCAAGCGUUAAUCGGAAUUACUGGGCGUAAAGCGUGCGCAGGCGGUUCGGAAAGAAAGAUGUGAAAUCCCAGAGCUUAACUUUGGAACUGCAUUUUUAACUACCGGGCUAGAGUGUGUCAGAGGGAGGUGGAAUUCCGCGUGUAGCAGUGAAAUGCGUAGAUAUGCGGAGGAACACCGAUGGCGAAGGCAGCCUCCU